rnacentral:lncRNA from 10 species
CGGGGAGCCAGGGGCAUGCUGGGGAAGAGCAUUCCAGCAGAGACAUGGACACGUGCGAAGGCCCCGAGGUAGGGACGAGCUUUGGGAACACGAGGCAUGUCAGGAAGGCCGGGGCCCCGAGGGAGUGAAGACCAGGCGAGUGGGAGGGCCUGAGCUUGUUCCAAGUGGCCCUGGAGGACUUCAGCCCACACACCCUGAGAGAAGAGGAAGGGAGCUCACACUGGCUAUGGGCUGCCCUUGCCAGGAGUUUGGUACAAUCUGGAGGCAGCAGAGACUCAGAGGUUCAGCAACUUACCUAACAACACACAGUGGGGCUGGGGGCAGCGCAGCCCACCUCCAGGGUAAGCUCAUCGCUGGAUGCUGUUGCCAGGUAGGCCUCAGCGCAUUCUACCCACUAGAUCUGAGUUGUCUUGGUUGGGGAGGGGGGCAUAAUUAAGACUGAAGGAAGAGGCAGUCCCUAAGGUCCUGGAUCCCAGCCCUAGCCAGGGAGCUGUUGUACACACAGCUCAGAGACAAAGACCAUCCAGAGUGAAGAGGCCAACUGUUAACUGGGUUGCUUGUGUGAUUGGACAGACUCAGGUUGUCAGCUCCCCAGCCCUGCCCUGAGAAGGCAGUCUCAUGACUGUCUCUGCACUCCCAUCCCCAACAGGCCCCACAGCUAAAAACCACCCCUGAGGUGGGGUGGGCAUUGGCAGGGCCAGGGCUUCACCUGGAGCUCAAUGUGGCAGUGCCUGCCGGAGCCUUCUAAUGGGUGGUGCCUGCAGGCCUCUAGCCAUGUGGGGCUCCUGGGUAGGGGUGGAGGGCACUCUGCAGAGACUGGCCAGUCUGACUCUGAAGACACAGGCAGGGAAACCAUGGCUCAGAGCAGAGAAAACAUGUGGGCAGCAGACCCUGCCUGCCCACCUGAGAGAAGCCUGCCGGCCCCUGGUUGGUGAGAGCUUCUGCUGAGCCCUUGGCCCCUGCUCUUUAACAUGGACAGGGCUGCUCAGAGCUGGCAGGUCCCUGGGCCGUGGGAAUGCCAGGCUCUGUUGGUAGGUGGAGGGCAGACAUUCCUUGGCUUGUGACACCCUGCACCAACCUGCCCUGGCACCCUCAUGUUCACCUGAGCUCUGGGGAGGGAGAAAACAGCUCCGCGGCCCCACUCCCAGUUUUGAGGACCUUAGCCCCCAUACUUAGUGUCAGGGCCAGGACUAGGGAUCCUCACUGGCCUGGGGCACAAAAUGUAAGGGGGCACCAAAAAAACUCAGUAAUCAAGAUAUUUUAUUGUAAUCUUUUAAAAAAUGAACAUGAAUACUAAAAUAUCCUUAUAUUAGGUCCACAUUGCAGCUCUAACAAACUGCCAGAAAUUUGGCAGCUUAAAACAACACAACGUGAUUAUCUUCUAGUUCUGGAGGUCAGAAGUCAUAACCAGUCUUCUAAGGCUAAAAUCCAGAUGUCAGCAGGACUGGUUUCUUGUAGGACAUGGGGAGAAGCAGUUCCUUGUAUCUUUAACCUUCCAGGGGCUACAGCAAGGCCUUGGCUGCGGCUUCAGCACUGCAGUCUCUGCCUCUGUCCUGCCCCCACCGCCUCCACUGUGGUCAAACUUCCUUCUGCCUUCCUGGUAAAAGAACCCCUAUGAUUGCACCUGGCCCCUUAGAUAACCCAGGUUAACCUCUCCAGCCCUCAUCACACCUACAAAGUCUCUUGUACUGUGUAAGAUAACACAGCCACAGGUUCCAGGGAUCAGGACAUCUUGUGGGGAAGGGCAUUAUUCAGCCAACCACAUCCAUGGUCAAAUGCAAACAUGUGAAAUAAAGGCAGGAAUGUGGUGGGAUUGGGGUGGGAGGCACUCACCCUCAAGGCCUGUGCAAGUGCAUAGCUGCUCCUUUCUGUAUUGAAAACUUUGAUCUUUUGUUCAUCAAAGAUUUUUUGCCUAAUAUUUAUUCUUAAAAGUAUUACAAUAAAGUGUUUAUCCUAGUUACUGA